UACGUAGGGUGCAAGCGUUGUCCGGAUUUAUUGGGCGUAAAGAGCUCGUAGGCGGUUUGGCAAGUCGGGUGUGAAACCUCCAGGCUCAACCUGGAGACGCCACCCGAGACUGCUAUGACUUGAGUCUGGUAGGGGAUCACGGAAUUCCUGGUGUAGCGGUGAAAUGCAUAGAUAUCAGGAGGAACACCGGUGGCGAAGGCGGUGAUCUGGGCCAGUACUGACGCUGAGGAGCGAAAGCGUGGGGAGCGAACAGG
rnacentral:rRNA from 1 species